UCUACUUUCGUGGACGAGAGAGGGAGCAUUUAUUUAUUAAUUGUUAGUGAGACUGACUCUGCUGGUUUUAACGGGUUGACGCGUUGAUGAGGAAGGCUCCGCCUACUUUCCACGAAAUCAACCUUAAUUUACUUUUGCGGACGCAAGGGGAAAUGGGAUUAAAGUUAGGCCACUUAAUUUCCAGCCCUGCAGAGCGGGUAGACAGAUCGAGAGAGAAAGGGAAGCAUGCUACUGAAUAUUGCUGCUGCUCUUGUACAUCAUGUCCAGAAAAAGAGAGAGAGAAGGAGAGCAUUUCUAGAGAAUGGAGGGCUUGUAUUGGAGAAGCUGGUUGCCUCUUGUAAUGGCAGGCCUUUUCCCAUCCGUACCUUCUCCUACCAACAGCUUAUCUUGGCAACCAAUAACUUUAAUCAAAUUCUACAUAGAGAUGCGUUUUAUACACUGUACAAGGGUUCUUUUGAAGGCCGAAUACUUUCCAUUAAGAUGUAUGAUGAACGUGAUUCAUCUGCCAAGGACACGGCCCUAAUGGAUAUAGGAAUUUCUGCAAAGGCGAGUGCUCACAAAAAUGUUUUAAAACUGGUAGGAUGCUGUCUCGAGACUUCAAUUCCGAGUUUAGUAUUUGAAUAUGCUCAAAAUGGAGUCCUUGACCGUCGAAUUUUUAUCUCUACAAGACAAGGUACGCCCAUGUUGUGGCAGAGCAGGUUAAAGAUUGCAAGACAGUUUGCUCAUGCAAUAGCGUAUCUUCACACUGCCUUCUUCAGACCCAUCAUCCAUGCAGAUAUAAAAAUGAAAAAUAUCUUAUUAGACCAGCAUGAUGUUCCCAAACUUGCAGAUUUUUCAUUUUCUGUUUCAAUUCCUGAGGGUGAAACUCACGUGCAAGUUGAUGUGGUGCGGGGGACUGGGAGUUUCAUUUGCCCUAUCUAUGCUUCGACAGGAAGGAUAACAGAGAAAACUGAUGUCUAUAACUACGGUAUGGUUCUAUUACAGAUUUUAACUGGACAGCGUACGAUUAUUCUUGAUCGAGAAGAUGAAGAUUGUUCUUUACCAGAUCACGUAAGAAACCGUGUUAUAAAUGAGAUCGUGGAUCCUGCAAUCCUGUUAGAGGAAGGAGGAGCUGGUUUGGAGCCGCAAUUGCAAGCUGUACUAGAGCUUGGUCUAACAUGCACAGAGUACGAUCCAGAGAUAAGGCCGACGAUGGUGGAUGUUACAAAAGAACUCAGGCGGAUUGAGAAGAUUGUUUAUUGACUCAUGCAAAAGGCUGAAGAUCAUGCAGGGCUCUGAUGCCAAUGGCUUAGCUCAUAAUAGGAACUUUGUACUUUCUCUAAAACUCUUAAUUGCUUUGUGGUCGCCAAGUUCAAUGCUUUGAAGUUCAAACGGGUGCCGGAAGAGGAAGAAGCUUUUAAAGGUGAUUGAACAAAAUGACAGGAUGGUUCUGGGCUGGACGAUACGUCUUGUUCUGAUGCACAUCCUGUCGUAGGAGUUCAUGGUCCUAGUAAAAUCCUAGUUGUUUAAGGUGUUUUGUGUUUGAUUAAAGACUACUUGGAUACUAUGCUUCUGCUGUUUUUAUUAACUUUUGAAUAGCCUCUGUUCUUAAGUAAAUUUUACAACCAGCUGAUCUUUUUUUGAAUGUCCUACACUCCUACCUAGCAAGAUUCCGCAUUAAUCUGAAAUUUACAUAUAUAACAAUUGUGUUACUCUGCAAGAGCUUGGAAAUUUUGUUUGGGGUUCUCUCUCUUGAUCGGCCUUGUCAUUGGGCUGGGUCUGAUCCUCAUUUCUAAUGGCAAAAUUUUCUUAUUGUCUUCUUGUUUUAUUUCUUAUAUGAUUUCGUUUAAUUCUGUGUCUACAAUAAGCCUAAUUUGAGACCGAAGAGCAUCACAAUCACAAAAAGCUAUGUGUGAUCAUACUCUGAAAAAAAAAUUAUGAAUAUUGAUUAUUGUAACUAAAAUAUAAUAACUUCUAAUUUUGAUUACACUUCACGUACCCCACCGGACAAUUUAUUGUAAUUUUGAUCCCAACAAUUCAGUCAAAUUACAUUAAUUUAAAGUGAUAUUACUGGGACCCAACAUGGUGGUGCUUCACUCAAAAGGUUAUCAUCCGAUAGCGAAUCCAACUUUCCACGAAAUUUUCUUUUACUUUCAU